rnacentral:rRNA from 1 species
UACGUAGGGGGGCAAGCGUUGUCCGGAAUCAUUGGGCGUAAAGCGCGUGUAGGCGGCUCGGUAAGUCUGCUGUGAAAGUCCAGGGCUCAACCCUGGGAUGCCGGUGGAUACUGUCGAGCUCGAGUCCGGAAGAGGCGAGUGGAAUUCCUGGUGUAGCGGUGAAAUGCGCAGAUAUCAGGAGGAACACCAAUGGCGAAGGCAGCUCGCUGGGACGUGACUGACACUGAGGCGCGAAAAC